rnacentral:rRNA from 1 species
UACGAAGGGGGCUAGCGUUGCUCGGAAUCACUGGGCGUAAAGCGCACGUAGGCGGAUUGUUAAGUCAGGGGUGAAAUCCUGGAGCUCAACUCCAGAACUGCCUUUGAUACUGGCGAUCUCGAGUUCGGGAGAGGUGAGUGGAACUGCGAGUGUAGAGGUGAAAUUCGUAGAUAUUCGCAAGAACACCAGUGGCGAAGGCGGCUCACUGGCCCGAUACUGACGCUGAGGUGCGAAAGCGUGGGGAGCAAACAGG